CGAGGUCAGGCUCUUGGGGUUCGCUGCCGUCAACGAGGCAGAGCUCCUAGGUAUCACGAUCCCAAAAUUUAAAACAUGAUCAAUGCAUAACCAUGACCAUCAUGAGCAUCAUUAGUGCAUAAUUAAGCGUCAUGUUAUUAGCAUUUGAAUGAGUUUUGAAUUGUCACACGAUGCAGCCUUACGAGAUAGGAUAAAAUCAAUAACCGGUAAGUAAAUUAGGCGAGAUUAAAGCGAUACGCCAUUAAUCAAAGCCUAGAAAACUCGAUAAGUAACGGUGCUUACAAGCAAACCAGAGGUCGAGAUGAUGCAGCCCUGUUCACCGAAGA
rnacentral:lncRNA from 1 species